CACAAUUCUCUGUGUGGGCACUUGCCAUGACUUUAUUUUAGAAUGUUUCUUUGUGCAUGUGGUAGGGAAAACAUUGAUGUUUAACAGAAAUUCACUCAUUUGCUUGAAGGUUAAAGACUACAUGAGACUUUGACAGAUGGCGGGAAACCCACAUCCACUGGUAGAGGAAUGUCUGCAACUAAGCCGAGGGCCACUGGAUAAGGGUUGUUGAUGGUAAAACAGGUAGAGGAAUGUCUGCAACUAAGCCGAGGGCCACUGGAUAAGGGUUGUUGAUGGUAAAACAGGUUAAAGACUACAUGAGACUUUGACAGAUGGCGGGAAACCCACAUCCACUGGUACGAACCCGGUAGAGGAAUGUCUGCAACUAAGCCGAGGGCCACUGGAUAAGGGUUGUUGAUGGUAAAACAGGUUAAAGACUACAUGAGACUUUGACAGAUGGCGGGAAACCCACAUCCACUGGUAGAGGAAUGUCUGCAACUAAGCCGAGGGCCACUGGAUAAGGGUUGUUGAUGGUAAAACAGGUAGAGGAAUGUCUGCAACUAAGCCGAGGGCCACUGGAUAAGGGUUGUUGAUGGUAAAACAGGUA